GACGAACGCUGGCGGCGUGCCUAACACAUGCAAGUCGAGCGAUGAAACCCUUCGGGGUGGAUUAGCGGCGGACGGGUGAGUAACACGUGGGUAACCUGCCUCAAAGAGGGGGAUAGCCUCCCGAAAGGGAGAUUAAUACCGCAUAACAUUGGUUUUUCGCAUGAAGAACCAAUUAAAGGAGCAAUCCGCUUUGAGAUGGACCCGCGGCGCAUUAGCUAGUUGGUGAGGUAACGGCUCACCAAGGCGACGAUGCGUAGCCGACCUGAGAGGGUGAUCGGCCACAUUGGAACUGAGACACGGUCCAGACUCCUACGGGAGGCAGCAGUGGGGAAUAUUGCACAAUGGGCGAAAGCCUGAUGCAGCAACGCCGCGUGAGUGAUGAAGGCCUUUGGGUUGUAAAGCUCUGUCUUUGGGGACGAUAAUGACGGUACCCAAGGAGGAAGCCACGGCUAACUACGUGCCAGCCGCCGCCGUAACAC
rnacentral:rRNA from 1 species